rnacentral:rRNA from 1 species
UACGUAGGGACCAAGCGUUGUUCGGAUUUACUGGGCGUAAAGGGCGCGUAGGUGGCGCGAGAAGUCAACGGUGAAAGCCCGGGGCUCAACCCCGGGUCGGCCGUCGAUACUCUUGGGCUCGAGCACUGUAGAGGCAGGUGGAAUUCCGGGUGUAGCGGUGGAAUGCGUAGAGAUCCGGAAGAACACCGGUGGCGAAGGCGGCCUGCUGGGCAGUUGCUGACACUGAGGCGCGACAGCGUGGGGAGCGAACAGG